rnacentral:rRNA from 1 species
UGCGCAGGCGGAUGGAUGUGUCAGGUGUGAAAUCUCGGGGCUCAACCUCGAAACUGCGCCUGAAACUGUUCAUCUGGAGUAUUGGAGAGGUAAGCGGAAUUUCCGGUGUAGCGGUGAAAUGCGUAGAUAUCGGAAGGAACACCAAUGGCGAAGGCAGCUUACUGGACAAUUACUGACGCUCAGGCACGAAAGCAUGGGUAGCGAAAG